rnacentral:misc_RNA from 1 species
UUUUUUUUUUUUUUAAUUUUACUUUAAUUGAAUUUUUCUUCUUAAAAUUAAACGAAUUGAUCAAAAUCGUUUCUUUCUCUAGAUUCUUAGCUCUUUGUUUGGCAACUUAGAAAGUGAAUAUGGAUUUCCAAUUUUUAAUCAAAUAGCAAAAUUGAAAAUUUGCAAUACUUUAUUUAUUUUUUUUUAUAGGUGUUUAGGGUUUGUCUAUUUUCGCUUUCUCUCUCUCUCUUUCUCGGUUGUUUUGGCUUGAGCUUUUGGUUUUGUUUCAAUCGUCGUUUGAUAUCUGCCAAUUUGUGAAUUGUGAUCAAUAAGGCUUUUACGAUCUCUGUUUUGUUGGGACCACACACAUAUAUAGAGAGAGGGUUAUAGAUGAUAGGGGAAGUGCAGCUGGAGGCAGUGGGUGCAGGGAAUCCGAGCGACUCUGAUCCUCUGCUGGAAAAUAAGGCUGAUUCAUCAUCGCUUCCACCGGGAAGUUCGAGUGAGAUUAACAAUGAAGAAGAUACUGAGAAUGGUUCUAUUCCUUGUUGCCGCAUUUGUCUCGAGAGCGAUUGCGAACUAGGCGAUGAAUUAAUAUCUCCAUGCAUGUGCAAAGGCACCCAGCAGUUUGUUCAUCGUUCAUGCCUUGAUCAUUGGCGCUCAGUUAAGGAAGGAUUUGCUUUCUCUCACUGCACAACGUGCAAGGCCCAAUUUCAUCUUCGAGUUGCAUUGUUUGAGGACAGCUCAAGGCGAAAAGUAAAAUUCAGACUUUUUGUGACGAGGGAUGUUGUCAUUGUAUUUCUGGCUGUGCAAACUGUGAUUGCUGCAAUGGGUGGCUUUGCAUACCUUAUGGAUAAAGAUGGCACCUUUAGGAAUUCAUUCAGUGAUGGUUGGGAUCGAAUCUUGUCAAAACAUCCUAUACCAUUUUACUAUUGUAUAGGUAAGCUUGAUGGUUUUGGCAGUUACUGUUUAUUUUCCUCGCUUGGAUUAUAGGUUCUGUUCAAAAUUUCUAGUGCUAAGUAAUUGUAUUGGUAUGCCAGUUUAGUAGCAUAUUUCUAUUUCAUUAAUUUGCUGGCAUUUGUACUUUAUUUUAUGCAAUUAGGAAAAUGACGAUGAGAAUAUAGGCUACAGGGAAGAAGGAUUAUUUGUUUGUUUUACUUUGCAUGUUUUUCUAACCGGAAAAUCGGUGGUUGUUAGGGCACACUCUUCUUUCCGGCAUUACUUGAGUUAUGGAAGUUAACGUUGUCCCUCUUCCCAUUUUGUUUCCACAUUAAAUUCCUACCUUGUACUUUUCUGUAAUAUUUGUCCCCUUGUAUGUUGUUCCUUGACAUAUACAUUCUGUUAACUGAUCUUUUUUUUUCUUUUUCUACUUCUAAAGUUGUAUCUGACACCUUUUAUAAAAGUCUCCUAAAUUCAGGAUUCUUCUUUGAAACUAUUUAUUUUUAGCAAUUUUUGUUUCUAGUGGAUUUGCAACUGCAUACGCUUGAACUAUUUCCAGACUUCCUGGUUUACCAUAAAUAAUCGCUUAUAGUUGUUGAUAUAGGAUUUAAUUUGAUUGUUGUGUCUAUUUGUUUGUGGUAGCAUGGUGUCUACUUUAUUGCAUCUUUUUACAUAUAUUAUAAAAAAUGUAAAAAAAAUUGAAAAAGAUAUCACUUGCUUUCAUACCCCUCCUGUCCUGUUGAGUGCUAGAUACUGGCUGAUUAUUAUUUUCUAUACUGUGUAAACAAAUUGCACCAGGGGUACUAGCGUUCUUUGUGCUGCUUGGGUUUUUUGGCCUCAUACUACAUUGCUCCUCCCUCAAUAGUAAUGAUCCACAGAUGGCUGGUUGCCAGAACUGCUGUUAUGGAUGGGGAAUUCUGGAUUGCUUUCCUGCUUCUAUGGAGGCAUGCUUUGCCUUGGUUUUGGUUUUUGUUAUUAUCUUUGCCAUUCUAGGCAUAGCUUAUGGUUUCCUUGCUGCCACCAUGGCCAUUCAGAAGAUCUGGCAGAGACACUACCACAUCCUUACUAAGAGGGAGUUAACAAAGGUAAUCGAUCUCUCAGUCUUGCUGUUGUCUUUUGUUUAUUACCAUAGAGAAGUUGAUUAUGUGAAUUGAUUUAAGUAGUUUUUUGAAUUUUUAAACUACUAUUAUAUAUGGGAGUCUAUAAAUUUAUAUAUACAUGCAUUUAUAAAUAGGAAUCCAUGGAAUCAACUGAACUGGUAGAAUCUUUUUUUUUUAAUAAUUUUCAGUCGAUGUUGGGUUUGAUUCUGAUGGCACUACCUUUGAGGACUUGGAUUUAGUGAUUUAGUAAUCCAUACCGACUUACUGUUAAAAUUUUUCAGGAAUACAUAGUAGAGGAUCUCCAUGGCUGCUAUACACCGCCAAAGUUGGAUUCAGAACAUGAAGAACGUCUGAAAAUGCUUAAGCUUUUAUAACGAUGGGUGGGUUUGUUGAGUUGUAAGACAUAUUUCCUAUGUCCAUCUAAUUAGUCAGGUUUUUAAAGCUUCAUAAUGUUCCUUUCCGAGAUAAAGAAGCUGCAUUUUGUAUUUGUUUGGCAAGUUUAUCUAACAGAGCAAGGAUAAAAGAAAGUAUAUUCUCAUUUUUCUGUGAAUGCUUUA